rnacentral:rRNA from 1 species
CGAUUACGAGUUUGAUCAUGGCUCAGGAUGAACGCUAGCGGCAGGCCUAAUACAUGCAAGUCGAACGGAUAUAUGUUUUUCGGAAUAUAUAUUAGUGGCGCACGGGUGAGUAACACGUACAUAACUUGCCCUCAAGCGGGGGAUAGCCUUGGGAAACUGAGAGUAAUACCCCAUAGAAUUAUUGGACGGCAUCGUUUGAUAAUUAAAACUACGGUGUUUGGGGAUAGAUGUGCGUCUGAUUAGCUAGUUGGUGAGGUAACUGCUCACCAAGGCGACGAUCAGUAGGGGGCGUGAGAGCGUGGCCCCCCACACGGGUACUGAGACACGGACCCGACUCCUACGGGAGGCAGCAGUAAGGAAUAUUGGUCAAUGGAGGGAACUCUGAACCAGCCAUGCCGCGUGAAGGAUGACGGCCCUCUGGGUUGUAAACUUCUUUUGGAUGGGGCGAAAAAACGGGAUUUAUCCUGGACUGACGGUACCAUCAGAAUAAGCACCGGCUAACUCCGUG